rnacentral:rRNA from 1 species
UACAAACUAGAUCAAAUUAAGAUAAGCACAGUAAAAAGGGGGUUAGGGAACAACUAAUUAAUUAAUCAUAAUUACCAUUGACUAAAAGAUUACACGUUCUGUAGAGGUGGAAUUUGUGCAGAGCAAAUAAUUUAUUGUUUUUUCUCUCCUGAAGCCCCGAAACCUUAAUUAAAAACCGGGAUUAGAUACCCCGCUAUUUAAGACAUAAAUUUUAAUUUUUUUUUAAAUUUUACUAGAGUAUUACGGGUCCUAUAAAUUUAAUAUUUACAUUACCAACUUAAAACUCAAAAAACUUGGCGGUGCCUUAUAUCCUCUCAGGGGAACCUGUCCUGUAAUCGAUAGCCCACGAUUCACCUUUCCUUUGUUUGAAUUUAAACAGUUUGUAUACCGUCGUCGCCAGAUUACCUCCUAGAGUAAAAAAGUUAUCUAUAAGAAAAAUAUUAAUGAAAUAUUACAAAAAUAAUUUAAUAGCAUUAAUACUAUCUAAACGUCAGAUCAAGGUGCAGCUAAUACAGAGGAAGAGAUGGGUUACAAUAAAAAAUUCUUAAACGAAUAGCUUCUUGUAAUGCAAGCUUGAAGGAGGACUUGAAAGUAAUUAAGAGAAAUAGAGAGUCUCGGUGAACAUGGCCCUAAGGCGUGC